UCUGUUUUUGUUGAUCAGCUCACGAGAGAGUGCCUGUUUAUCACAUGUGUUUAGAAGAAUAAUGCUAUGGUGUACAAGAGUGUAAAAUAUAUUUUUAUUAUUUUCCGUAUUCUGAUGAGUUCUGUUUGAAUUGAUUAUUAUUUAAUACACAUUAAUACGCAAUUUUUGUUCUUCUCGUUGAGUUCAUAACUUGACAGAUUAAUAUCUUCCGAUUCAAUCGAAUCAUAGUAUCGUUAAUUGUUUACAUUAUCAGAGAUUUGAGAUUUGCUGUUGCAUUGAUAUAAAUUACGACAAACAAAUUGAACAAUCAGGUCCACUUUGUUCUGGCUCGAUAACUCCUAUUAUUGUGAUAUAAUUAAAGAUGAUACGUUCACAAAGUGAUCUCUGUCGUAAAUCAAACUGCGUCGUCUUAAUCUCAUACGAAAAUGGAUGAGUGAUGAAAGUUUGAUGAUCAUCAACAAAAAAGUUCAUAUUCCUUGGAAUGGAGACACACCUCAUACAGCAGAUUUGUUACGAUAAUAUAGUCGGAGCUUGUAAAAAAAAAAGUGGACGUUAUCAGUAUGCAUAAGAAUUGAAUUAAAAUCAACAAAUAAAUUUAAUUUCUUUCAUGGUAUUAUUCAAAUCUAAUAUAACAUUGAAUUGUUGAUAAUAAUGAAGUCAAACGAAAGAGAAGUUGUAAGAGGAAUAAACAUUUGUCAAGAGGGUCAUCAGCAACAAUGUAUUUGAGUAAAAGCGAUUGAAAGGGAGGGGAAAAAGGGGAAAAAAAAAAAAAUAGAAGAAAUAGAAAAAAUAAAAAUCUCUUAGAGUAGUAACUAGGAAAUAUGAUGAAAUGAGAAUCGAAUUAAUUCGACAGUUUAUUACAUUCAGUGUGCCGGUAUAGAAAUAUUAUACAAAUUCGAAGAUGUUCGAACGAAUUACGAAACGUUAGAACUACAUGGUUUUUCUUUCUUUUUUUUUUUCCUUUUCUUUUCUUUUUUUUCUCUUUUUUUUUCCUUUUUUUUUUUAAACAUAUACAUACAAGAGAGAGAGAGAGAGACAGAGAGAGAGAGAGAGGGAGAGCGACGUGUAACGUUUCUAUACAAACAUCCAACACGGCGAGCACAACGUGUGCACAUAAAACAGCCCGCCAUUUCUACUAAAUGAGAACUGUCCUAAUUUAUAAUUCUAAUGUAAUGGAGUAUUUUAUUUACAAUUUAAGUGCGUUAUUCCCUCCUCCUACUCUCCUCCCCACCCUCUCCCCCUCCCCUCCCCGUAACUUUUCGUUAAGCUCGCAAAGUGCUGUACAUACUUUGGUAUUUUUUGCUUUUUUCUACUUUUCUUUUUUUCCACCCCCUUUUUUGCCCCUCUUUCAAUCGAAUCUAUCUCUUCUAAGAGAGUUUUCAUCAUGCACGCGCGCAUUCCUUAUCAAAAAAAAAAAAAAAAAAAGGAAAAAAAAAAAGAAAAAAGAAAAGAAAAAAAAAGAAAA